rnacentral:lncRNA from 1 species
GUUUCCCCCCUUUUCUCUCUCAAUUUUUUUCGAUGAAUGCUAGAUCUGAGUUCGUGUUUUGCUCUACAAGAUAGAUCUUACCACUAUCAAGAUGGAUCUUGGCACAAGAAAAAAACUAUAAGAGUGUAAACAAAUCUAAAAAAAUGUGGGUUAUCUCCAUUUUUUGCUCUUGUUCUUCAUGUUCUUCGAGUUCUUAUGGUUUUGUUUGAUCUGAGUUUUUCUCUCUCGGUUCCUUUGAAUGGAUGAUCGAUUUAGGUUCCUUUUGACGAAUCUUUGCACGAAAAAACACAAAUUUCUGAAAGGUAGGUGAGCUCUCUUUUAGCCUCUUGAUCUUCGUGUUCUUCCCGUUCUUGUGGAUUUGAUUGUUCUGGAUUUUUAUGUUCUUCAUUAUGUUUAUUGUUAAAUUUUUCUAGGUUUUUUUAUGUCUGAUACAAGCGUUUUGUUCACGUCCCACCGGGACGAACACAUGCCAUGGCGGGACGUCUGUUUUCAUGCCCCCUACCGAUUUUUUUUUUAAAAAACCCGUAAAAAUGAUACAAGCGUUUUGUUCACGUCCCACCGGGAUGAACACAGGUCGUCGCGGUACAUUUGUUUGAUUGCCUCAUACGAAUGUUUUGUUCACGUCACCUAAAAGAAUGCAUAACGUGGUAAUUCAUUUGUUUUCACUUGUCGAUACGGACGUUGUGUUCACGACCCAUUGGGACAAACGUAGGCGUUGGUGGUAC